CCACUACUCUACCUGAAUGAUGGCCUCAAUUUCACCUAAAAUAGCAUCUUCAUGCAGUUCUGGACAGUUAAAUAGUGAUGUACUUUGUCAGGCUCUUUCCACUCUCAGAGGAAUUGUGGAGUCCUGUUAUGGCCCAUUUGGUAGACUAAAACUAAUUCACAAUGCUGUAGGAGGCUACGUUCUAACCACAUCACAGUCUUCUGCGCUUUUGCGUAAUCUUUCUGUGUCCCAUCCUGUGAUGAAGUUGCUAAUAGCUUCCGUGCUGAAUCAUGUUUCUCGAUUUAGUGAUUCUGGACUUUUUACAGCGAUUCUCUGCUGUAAUUUGGCUGAAAAUGCAAAACAACUUAAUGUACCAAGCAGUCACAUUGUCAAAAUCCAUAAACACCUUCUGAAUAUUUGCCUUGACUAUCUAACUUCUGAGGAAUGUAGCUGCAGAAUACAAAUAGAUUUUAGUAACAGCAAGACUUUGCUUUCACUUGUUCGUACAAUGAUAAAUAAGCCUACUUGUAUGUUGACUACAAAAGAAGCUGACUACAUCAGUUCCUUAGUGUUAAAGGCAUUCUUUUACACAAUACCAUCUGUGAUUGGAGAUCAUGUAUCUUUGGGAAAGAUGCAGAUUGUUCCCAUUGAGGGGCAAAGUGUUUCUGACUCCUGUGUGCUUUCUGGGAUCCUUAUAGAGAUAUUUUCAUCUCCUUCAACAACAGUUGAUAUUACAAAAUUGACAUUUGGUUACAUUAAGAUUGCUGUAUUCAAUGUUUCCAUGUCAGGAGAUGUUGUUGACAGUGGGAAUGGAACCUGGGAGGUGACACCAGAUUUCAGUCCUGAAGAUGAAUCACUUGCACAGCUGCUGAAGGUGGGAAAACAGCUAGUUUAUGACCAAGUUCACCUUGUUUUGUGUCAGCGAGUGAUCCAUCCUGUUCUAAAACAAUAUCUCCAGGAGCAACAAGUGAUGGUAGGAGAUAGACUUGGAGUUGCCCUCAUGGAGCCUCUGAUUCAAAUGACAGGUGCACAAUCCAUUAGUUCAUAUUAUCAUCCUAUUCUCCCUAACUGCUAUGGCAUUAUUAAGAACCUGCACAUUGUGAAGUUUGGUUUCAAGCAAUUCCUGCAUCUGAUCCCAAAUGAGAAUAAGCCUGUGUGUAGUUUGUUACUAUGUAAUCGAAGUGAAGCUGGAGUGAAUGAGCUAAAGCUUGUCUGUCAAUCUGCAGAACAUGUGAUGCGACUUACACUCAAAGAGCCUUUAGCUGUACUGGGAGGAGGGUGUACUGAAUUCCAUCUCGCUACUUAUGUUGGACAUAAGAGCCAAACUGUGACUGAUGAUAAGUUAGCGGAGUUGGGCUGCUCUCGAUCUGAAUAUGGAAUUGUUGCUGACAGUUUCUGCCGCUCAUUGCAGCGUACUGCCUCUUCACUGGAACAUGAUGGUGAUUGAUCAUAUCGUCAGGCAUGAACACAUACUGAAGAAGCUGUUUGUAUGGAUGGAGACCCAAGAGGGAGAAAGUGAAUAAAAGAUGUCAGAGAAAUGAAAAUUAAAAAUGUGGAGCCCCAGUGAGCAACUAAGAAGCCACAAGAAUAUACUACAGUGGAUACGAAGCCAUGAAGAAAAUGAUGAGAUUGAGUUUCCUCACUGGAUGGUGGAGAAAUGCAUUGAGCUAGAAUUAACUUUGUUGCCCAGAUUUUGAAACAACACAGUCAUGAUUUUUUUAAAAAUGUAGUUCCUGUAUGUUUUUGACAAUGUGGCCAAUUGAUGUGCCUAACUAUGAACCAAUCAGAAUGCACCUUCAAUAAUGAUGCUGCGCUACUUGUCAUGUUGUUAUGGAGGCACUUUAAUAAACUCAGAUCUACAGGGGUUCCCCGAUUUAUGAAUGUCUGACUUACAAACAUGAUUUCCAUAUGUGGUUGUAAUUUCAAAGAACCAACAUAUGGACAUUUCCUGUACUUAUGAAUGGCUUCUUUACAUCAUCCUGUGCAGUGUUCCAACUUGCAUUCAAUUCAACUUGUGACUGGACUCCAGAAGGGGACCUGUUCACAACCCAGGGACUGCCUGUACAAAAUGUUGUCUGGUGAAGAUGUCUCUGUUGAUUGAAUUGACUGCAUGUUGUUAUCCUGGAAUUUGUUCAGCCCUGCAUUAGCAAGUUUCAUGAUUUUUGCUAUCACAACAUUGCAGCCUGAAUAAGAAUUAUUGUUUGUGAGAGUGCUGCACACUUUGAAUUUGGCAUGUUUGAUUAACAGCUCCAGGAUUAACAUUCACUGGUUCUUGGGCAGGGCAUGUGACACAACCGAUGUUGCAUAUGUACAUCAUUUUGUAUUGUCUUAUUAAAUUAGAUGAAAUGGUGUCUCUGGGAGUGGGGUGUUUGAAAAGCUUAGGUGCAUUUUCACAAUAUUUAUAAAUAUAUUAUUUUGUUCUGUAAGAAAGUCCGCUAGCACUACACUUGAAUGCAUGCAUCAUUCACCAGAUGUUUUUUGUUACCAAUAAAGUUAAAAAGUUUGACAUUGUAAAGUCACACCCUGAAACUGAGGAGCACAUUCCAAUCAGCAAAGUUUUCUGAGCAGUUAACAGUUAAAUUUUUAAUUUAUUUGGGCCUGCAUUUACUUAACAAUUUGAUUUAUACCCUUGAACAGUCGAUCAUUGCUGCACAUUAGCAUUGUGCAUUUAUGGUAAAACACUCCUCAAAACGCAACGUAUUAUGUAGAUUCCACUGAUCAGUGCAGAACAGACAUUUGUGUAUAUGUCAUAUGAAUCAUCAGCAUUCUGUUCACUAGAAACUGGUUGGAAUAAAUUGCCAUUAACUGGACCACAUGGCAACCUCAUCAGCAGCUAUUGCAAUAAUAAGCUGGAAACUGGCUGCAGCAAAGCAGGCUGAGAAAAAACAGGAUGUUAAUGUUCCAAAAUGUGUUGCUAAUUGAAAUGAUAUAAUUGGGCUAAUAGCUUCCUGUAGUUUUCUAGUGUUCCUUAUAAAGAAAAUAAUUUGGUUAAAAUUCUUUAUUUGAGAUGUGACGUCACUGGCCAAAUCCACUUUGUUGUCUGUCCCUAAUUACCCUCAAGAAGAGAGACAAUUAUCACUUUCUCUUCAUUCCAUGGCCUCUUGGACCGGCCACUACCGAGGACUAGAUCCUGUCUAAUUGCUGAGGACUAAAUCCUGUCUAAUUGCUGAGGACUGGAUCCUGUUCAACUGCUGAGCACUGGAUCCUGUCUAACUGUUGAGGACUGGAUCCUGCCCGAUUGCUGAGGACUGGAUCCUGUCUAACUGCCGAGGCAUGGAUCCUGUCCAACUGCCGAGGACUGAACCCUGUCCAACUGCCGAGGACCGGUUCCUGUCUAACUGCCGAGGACCGGAUCCUGUCCAACUGCCGAGGACCGAACCCUGUCCAACUGCCGAGGACCGCACCCUGUCCAACUGCCGAGGACCGGAUCCUGUCUAACUGCUGAGGACCUGGGGCCUGUCAAAGCUGUUGAGGACCGGGUCCUGACAAAACAUCUGAGGACCAGGGCGAUUGAAACUGCCAAGGACUGGAGACUUGCCGAAACCGCCAAAGACCAGGGGCCUGUUGAAGCCACCAAGGCCCAGGGGCCCUUCAAAACUGCUGAGGGCCAGGGGUCCAUCGAAACCGCUGAGGACCGGAACCUAGAUGGUGGUGAUGAGUUUCUGCUGUCAGUCUGGUGUAUAGACACCCACCGUGCUGCUGGGGAGGAAGUUCCAGAAUUCUGACCCAGCAACAGUGAAGGAACAGAAAUACAGUUCCUAGACAUGGUAUUACAUGAAUUGGAAGGCAACUCGUAGGGUGAACUAAAAUGUGGGAACUAGAACAUCCUCAUUUCUGACCAUAUGAUGGAGAGAUGGUAAUUGAUGAAGAAUCUGAAGACUGUUGAGCCGAGGACACUACCUUAAGGAGCUCUUCCUACGUCUUAGGGAUGAGAUUGUUUUCCCCAACAAUCGCAAUCACUUAAUGAUUGUAAUAAUAGUGACAAGCACAUCAAUUAGCAGCACAUAGCACAAAAGGAAAUCAUUCACCCCAUAGGGUUUCUGCUGACAUUUUUGAAAGGGCUGCUCAAUUAGGCCCUCUAUUUCGCUGAUUCACCAUAGUCUCCAAGUAUUUCCUUUUAAUCCGAUUUAUUUUGGGUUUUUUUAAGUUAGUCAUGAGUCUGCUUGUACUGUAAUUUCCAGGGGUGCAUUCUUGGGUUAGAACUCAUUGUGUAAAACUAAUUCUGUUGAUCUCCUGUCUGGUUCCUUUAUCUGAUAUCUCUGUCCUCUGGCUAGAAAUCCAUCUGCCGUAGAAACAGUUUGUCCCUAUUUAUUGCUUUAAAAUGCCGUAUAAUUUUAAACAGCUCCAUUAAAUUAGCUUCUCUAAUUCUUCCGUGUAACUGAAGUCCCUCAUCGCUGUUGUAUCACCUUUAUUUUAAUAUUCUUAUAUGGUAUGUGAGCUUUAUUUUACCUGCUGCUCCAAGACACCAGCUCUGAAUGUUCUUGGCCUUCCUAUAUCAAGUCCAAAAUGGCAGGAUUUAUUUGAAGCUCCAAUAUUUUCUUUCAAUUCUGGCAGUCCAGAAUGGAAGAGACCAAUUUCAUGAAAGUUGCUUGGAGCACACAGAAACUUGGAACAACAUUGCAUGAUCAUUCCAUUUGGUGAGCAACAAUAACUCUGAGAGGAAGUUGUUUCCCAAAUCUACCACCUGUUUGAAAACUGGAUCAUUGUAUCCAUUAAUAUUUCCCAUAUGUUUAAACUUCUUGCAUUUUGUAUAAAUCGCAUCAUAUCUGAAAGCCUUGCUGUGACAGUUUUGGGUGAUUCUCACAAAGUGAUUGUGUGUGAAGUCCACACUGUCCUGCUUGUGAGAAAAUGCUGUGCAAUGAAAAAUAUAUUGCUGCAGAAAAGUGUGGGAACAUUUAAAAAUAAAUCAUCUCCAAUUCAAAAGAUUUUGAGCCAGUUUUUCUUCAGCUCUCUUAGUCACUUUAAACACAAUAAAAUUGCUUGAAAGUAAUCAAAUGUGUGUGAUCUUGUUUCUGAAUGUGUCCACGUAGAUACAGUACCUACCUCAAAACCAACAGAACCGAGAAUGCAACUAUGCUGAAUUUUGGAUUUUACUAGGUCGUGGGUCAGUGGGUGGAUCCGGCAAAUUUGGUCAGAUGGGGUCAGGGGCCACUGGAAGUAAUGGGCAUAUGCCAGUGCGCAAAUAGCAAAACAGAAAUGGAGUCUGGAGCCAUGCUGUUCCUUGUUGAAUUGUCCAGAUAAAUUAAUUUUAAUGGAGUACAUUUAAAAAAAAAGUGCAUGGCACAUUCGGAAGCACCCAGUUUUUUGGACAUUUUCAGGUUUUCAACAGCCAGUUUUGAGAGUACAUCUGUGUAGGGAAUAAAACCAUUUUCUCCAGUGGAUUUAUUUUUCUGCAAUAAACUUUUGUGUCAAAAAGUUUGAAUCAGAAAAAUCAAAGAAUUUAUAUUUAUGAUGCUCACUAUUUUACAGUUUACACAUUCCAGAAAUGCUGCAUGAAAACAAAAUCUCUUGUACUGUGUCACCUCUUUCGUCUCUUUAAAUGUGUUCCGACAUGCUGUAUGUUUCACAAGUCUCUGCUGCUAUUAAAAAUGCCUAAUCCUA